rnacentral:rRNA from 1 species
UAACCUGCCCAAGAGAUCGGGAUAACACCUGGAAACAGAUGCUAAUACCGGAUAACAACAGAUGAUGCCUAUCAACUGUUUAAAAGAUGGUUCUGCUAUCNCUCUUGGAUGGACCUGCGGUGCAUUAGCUAGUUGGUAGGGUAACGGCCUACCAAGGCGAUGAUGCAUAGCCGAGUUGAGAGACUGAUCGGCCACAUUGGGACUGAGACACGGCCCAAACUCCUACGGGAGGCAGCAGC